UUGAGAUAAGACAGAGGAUAUU
rnacentral:miRNA from 1 species